rnacentral:lncRNA from 1 species
GCCAAUAUGGAAAUUGGGCUUCGGGGGUCGGUAUGAAACUAGGCUUGGUGGGCUAGUGUAGAAACUGGGCUUAGGGGCCAGGUGAGCUGGGCUUAUGUGCCAGGUGAAACUGGGCUUAGGGGCUAGUGUGGAAACUGGGCUUAUGGGCCAGGUGAAACUGGGCUUAGGGGCCAGUGUUGAAACUGGGCUUAGGGGCCAAUGUGGAAACUGGGCUUAUGGGUCAGGUGAAACUGGGCUUAGGAGCCAGGCGAGCUGGGCUUAUGUGCCAGGUGAAAUUGGGCUUAGGGGCCAGUGUAGAAACUAGGCUUAUGGGCCAGGUGAAACUGGGGUUAGGGGCCAGUGUUGAAACUGGGCUUAGGAAUUUU